rnacentral:rRNA from 1 species
CUGGUUGAUCCUGCCAGUUGUCACAUGCUUGUCUCAAAGAUUAAGCCAUGCAUGUCUAAGUACACACUGUCGCACAGUGAAACCGCGAAUGGCUCAUUAAAUCAGUUAUUGUUUAUUAGAUCUUGCUAUCCAUGUGGAUAACUGUGGUAAUUCUAGAGCUAAUACAUGCAACUGGCCCUGACUCACGAAGGGGCGCUUUUAUUAGAUCAAAACCAAACAGGGCAACCUGUUUUUGUGAUGACUCUGGAUAAUUUUGUGCCGACCGCAUGGCCUUGUGCCGGCGGCGUAUCUUUCAAAUGUCUGCCCUAUCAACUUUCGAUGGUAGGUGCUAUGCCUACCAUGGUUGUAACGGGUAACGGAGAAUCAGGGUUCGAUUCCGGAGAGGGAGCCUGAGAAACGGCUACCACAUCCAAGGAAGGCAGCAGGCGCGUAAAUUACCCACUCCCGGCUCGGGGAGGUAGUGACGAAAAAUAACAAUACUGGGCUUCAAGCCUGGUAAUUGGAAUGAGUACACUUUAAAUCCUUUAACGAGGAUCUAGUGGAGGGCAAGUCUNG